GUUUCAUAAUGCUCCCCCACUACACAGACACUGUCAUCUCCUGUAUUUGUAGACUUAAUGAAAAUGAACCUUUGUUUUUUCUUCACUCAAAUCUGAAGUUAAUUUGAGUACAGUCGAAAUAGUUUUUUCUGUCUGUGAAGGAAGUUGCUGUUUAAAGCUUGUUUGAUUUUUUUGAUAGGUAGUAUCACGUAAUUCUGGGUUUAACAGUUACGCAGUAUUUUCUUUUA
rnacentral:lncRNA from 1 species